rnacentral:rRNA from 1 species
UUAAACGGCCGCGGUAUUCUAACCGUGCAAAGGUAGCGUAAUAACUUGUCUUUUAAAUAAAGACUAGAAUGAAUGGCCAAACGAGGCUCCACCUGUCUCUUACAAAUAAUCAGUGAAAUUGAUCUUCCCGUGCAAAAGCGAGAAUAACAUUAUAAGACGAGAAGACCCUGUGGAACUUCAAAUAUAUACCAAGAUACUUUUGGUUGGGGCGACCUCGGAGUAAAAAAAAACCUCCGAAAAACUAACCUAGAGUUACAACUCAAAGAAACGAUCCAAUAUAUUUGAUCAACGAACUAAGCUACCCCAGGGAUAACAGCGCAAUCUCAUCCUARAGUCCCUAUCAACGAUGAGGUUUACGACCUCGAUGUUGGAUCAGGACAUCCUGAUGGUGCAUCCGCUAUCAAGGGUUCGUUUGUUCAACGAUU